rnacentral:rRNA from 1 species
AACGAACGCUGGCGGCAUGCCUAACACAUGCAAGUCGAACGAGACCUUCGGGUCUAGUGGCGCACGGGUGCGUAACGCGUGGGAACCUGCCCUUAGGUUCGGAAUAACUCCCCGAAAGGGGUGCUAAUACCGGAUAAUGUCUUCGGACCAAAGAUUUAUCGCCUUUGGAUGGGCCCGCGUUGGAUUAGCUAGUUGGUAGGGUAAAAGCCUACCAAGGCGACGAUCCAUAGCUGGUCUGAGAGGAUGAUCAGCCACACUGGGACUGAGACACGGCCCAGACUCCUCCGGGAGGAAGCAGUGGGGAAUAUUGGAAAAGGGGCGAAAGCCUGAACCAGCAAUGCCGGGUGGGGGAUGAAGGCCUUAGGGUUGUAAAGCUCUUUUACCCGGGAUGAUAAUGACAGUACCGGGAGAAUAAGCCCCGGCUAACCCCGU